AGCGAACGCUGGCGGCAGGCCUAACACAUGCAAGUCGAACGAACCCUCCGGGGUUAGUGGCGGACGGGUGAGUAACACGUGGGAGCGUGCCUUUAGGUUCGGAAUAACUCAGGGAAACUUGUGCUAAUACCGAAUGUGCCCUUCGGGGGAAAGAUUUAUCGCCUUUAGAGCGGCCCGCGUCUGAUUAGCUAGUUGGUGAGGUAAAGGCUCACCAAGGCUACGAUCAGUAGCUGGUCUGAGAGGAUGACCAGCCACAUUGGGACUGAGACACGGCCCAAACUCCUACGGGAGGCAGCAGUGGGGAAUCUUGCGCAAUGGGCGAAAGCUUGACGCAGCCAUGCCGCGUGGAUGAUGAAGGUCUUAGGAUUGUAAAAUCCUUUCACCGGUGAAGAUAAUGACUGUAGCCGGAGAAGAAGCCCCGGCUAACUUCGUGCCAGCCGCCGCCGUAACAC
rnacentral:rRNA from 1 species